rnacentral:rRNA from 1 species
AGAGUUUGAUCAUGGCUCAGGAUGAACGCUAGCUACAGGCUUAACACAUGCAAGUCGAGGGGAAACGAUAUUGGAAGCUUGCUACCGAUAGGCGUCGACCGGCGCACGGGUGAGUAACGCGUAUCCAACCUGCCCAUCACUUGGGGAUAACCUUGCGAAAGUAAGACUAAUACCCAAUGACGUCUCUAGAAGACAUCUGAAGGAGAUUAAAGAUUUAUCGGUGAUGGAUGGGGAUGCGUCAGAUUAGCUUGUUGGCGGGGUAACGGCCCACCAAGGCUACGAUCAGUAGGGGUUCUGAGAGGAAGGUCCCCCACAUUGGAACUGAGACACGGUCCAAACUCCUACGGGAGGCAGCAGUGAGGAAUAUUGGUCAAUGGACGAGAGUCUGAACCAGCCAAGUAGCGUGCAGGAUGACGGCCCUAUGGGUUGUAAACUGCUUUUAUAAGGGAAUAAAGUGAGCCUCGUGAGGCUUUUUGCAUGUACCUUAUGAAUAAGGACCGGCUAAUUCCGUGCCAGCAGCCGCGGUAAUACGGAAGGUCCGGGCGUUAUCCGGAUUUAAUGGGUUUAAAGGGAGCGUAGGCCGGAGAUUAAGCGUGUUGUGAAAUGUAGACGCUCAACGUCUGCACUGCAGCGCGAACUGGUUUCCUUGAGUACGCACAAAGUGGGCGGAAUUCGUGGUGUAGCGGUGAAAUGCUUAGAUAUCACGAAGAACUCCGAUUGCGAAGGCAGCUCACUGGAGCGCAACUGACGCUGAAGCUCGAAAGUGCGGGUAUCGAACAGGAUUAGAUACCCUGGUAGUCCGCACGGUAAACGAUGGAUGCCCGCUGUUGGUCUGAAUAGGUCAGCGGCCAAGCGAAAGCAUUAAGCAUCCCACCUGGGGAGUACGCCGGCAACGGUGAAACUCAAAGGAAUUGACGGGGGCCCGCACAAGCGGAGGAGCAUGUGGUUUAAUUCGAAGCAACGCGAAGAACCUUACCAGUCCUUGACAUCCAACUGACCGACCAGUAACGUGGUCUUCUCUUCGGAGCAGUUGAGACAGGUGGUGCAUGGUUGUCGUCAGCUCGUGUCGUGAGAUGUUGGGUUAAGUCCCGCAACGAGCGCAACCCCUAUCCUUAGUAGCCAGCAGUAAGAUGGGAACUCUAGGGAGACUGCCGGGGAUAACCCGGAGGAAGGUGGGGACGACGUCAAAUCAUCAUGCCCCUUAUGGGCUGGGCUACACACGUGCUACAAUGGUGCUAACAGAGUGAGGCAAGACUGUGAAGUUAAGCAAAUCACAAAAAUGGCAUCUCAGUUCGGAUUGUAGUCUGCAACUCGACUACAUGAAGCUGGAAUCGCUAGUAAUCGCAGAUCAGAAUGCUGCGGUGAAUACGUUCCCGGGUCUUGUACACACCGCCCGUCACACCAUGGGAGUUGGGAAUGCCCGAAGCCGGUGACCUAACCGUAAGGAAGGAGCCGUCGAAGGCAGGCUCGAUAACUGGGGUGAAGUCGUAACAAGGUA